rnacentral:rRNA from 1 species
CAGCCGCCGCGGUAAUACGUAGGUGGCAAGCGUUGUCCGGAAUUAUUGGGCGUAAAGGGCUCGCAGGCGGUUUCUUAAGUCUGAUGUGAAAGCCCCCGGCUCAACCGGGGAGGGUCAUUGGAAACUGGGAAACUUGAGUGCAGAAGAGGAGAGUGGAAUUCCACGUGUAGCGGUGAAAUGCGUAGAGAUGUGGAGGAACACCAGUGGCGAAGGCGACUCUCUGGUCUGUAACUGACGCUGAGGAGCGAAAGCGUGGGGAGCGAACAGAAUUAGAUACCCCCGUAGUCCCUGUCUCUUAUAC